rnacentral:rRNA from 2 species
AUUGAACGCUGGCGGCAGGCUUAACACAUGCAAGUCGAGCGGGGGAAGGUAGCUUGCUACCGGACCUAGCGGCGGACGGGUGAGUAAUGCUUAGGAAUCUGCCUAUUAGUGGGGGACAACAUCUCGAAAGGGAUGCUAAUACCGCAUACGUCCUACGGGAGAAAGCAGGGGAUCUUCGGACCUUGCGCUAAUAGAUGAGCCUAAGUCGGAUUAGCUAGUUGGUGGGGUAAAGGCCUACCAAGGCGACGAUCUGUAGCGGGUCUGAGAGGAUGAUCCGCCACACUGGGACUGAGACACGGCCCAGACUCCUACGGGAGGCAGCAGUGGGGAAUAUUGGACAAUGGGGGGAACCCUGAUCCAGCCAUGCCGCGUGUGUGAAGAAGGCCUUAUGGUUGUAAAGCACUUUAAGCGAGGAGGAGGCUACUUUAGUUAAUACCUAGAGAUAGUGGACGUUACUCGCAGAAUAAGCACCGGCUAACUCUGUGCCAGCAGCCGCGGUAAUACAGAGGGUGCGAGCGUUAAUCGGAUUUACUGGGCGUAAAGCGUGCGUAGGCGGCUUAUUAAGUCGGAUGUGAAAUCCCCGAGCUUAACUUGGGAAUUGCAUUCGAUACUGGUGAGCUAGAGUAUGGGAGAGGAUGGUAGAAUUCCAGGUGUAGCGGUGAAAUGCGUAGAGAUCUGGAGGAAUACCGAUGGCGAAAGCAGCCAUCUGGCCUAAUACUGACGCUGAGGUACGAAAGCAU